rnacentral:sRNA from 1 species
AGGGGAUAUGGAGGAAG